CUGACGGCAAGGCCUCUGAGGCACGGAAAUUCACAGCUGAGUUCUUGGAGAAGGUCCUUGAGCCAUCUGGAUGGCGUGCAGUCUGGCACAUAAUGUGCUCAAGGUGCUGCUUGAGGUGACAGAUGUGGCCAUUUCAGCCUUGAAGGCAGUGGUGCAGCUUGCUGAGCCAUACCUCUGUGAAUCUUGAGCAAGCACUUUCACCUUGGAGUGUAUGAGAGAGCUCCUCGAGCUGAAGGAACAUCAGUUGCUCCUGCAGGAGCUGGGUGGUGUUUGAUGAUUCUGGAGUGUUUGACUAGACAGCACUUGCAACUGAGCAUGUCAGGUAUGAAGGAGGUAUCUGGUCAGAGAAGGUGUUUUCUGAGGCUGCUUCCCGGAUCCCUAGGGGAUGUGUUCCUGCCAUUCAGCCUUUUUGGCAGUUAUUUCCACUUGUACAAGCAGACUUUUGUCACUUACCUGAGAAAGAAAGCCCACACCUGGAUUAAUAUUAAUAGCACCUCAGAAGUCCUGUGCAAUCUUGGGCAGCAAAGUGAAGAAGUGACUGCAAGUUGGGCUUUGGACCUAUCUGCAGUGCAACAGCACUCAGGAGAACGACCACACAGUGCUGUUGUGAUAAGACCAUCUCUGAAGAGGAAAACCUUCAAGUACUGACUGUUUUUAGCUGCAAGGAUAUACUUAAAAUGUUGAUGAAGUGUUUUGUGCUGUGAAUGCUGUCGUGCCUUGUAGUCAUGAACAGAGACCUUCGCAGGUGUGAGGAGAGACCUGACAAAAGGCCCCGCUUGUUUUCACCAGGUACUCACACACUCUGAGGAACCGGGUUAAUCUUGUAGGGGUCAAACUUCAAGGGCAGAGGGCUAAUUGCCCUCUCUUACCUGGUGGGAUCAGAUGAUAAAACCAAAUUGGAGUGGAGAUGGAUGGAAGAGGUGGGAAUGGCUCAACAUCAUGAUGGAGAGUUGCAUGUUGGUCACAUGGAGGCAAAUAGAUUUUUAAUAAGGAAAAAUAAUUACCAGUGAAUGAAGUGUCUGACUUUCCUGAAGAUUUAAGCCACCUUGAGACCAGAAUGAGAAACAUCUGGCAAACAUUUUAAUCAAGGGAAGGAAGCCGUUCUGCCCUCCAAAGAAGGAACUCUUUAAUCAAAACCCUGUUGCCUUGUUUAUUAGGGGAAGUAAGAAAUGAUUUGGCCACUGGGAGUAACUGCAGCAGCUUCAGAGAAGCCCAGACAUGUGUGAAGAGACUGGUGCACCUGAGGAGUGAGGCAGAAGCCUGGGAACAUUUUAGAACCAGAUGCCACCCAAACCACACGGUGCGGUGGUGAUAAAGACUGAAGAGGCCUGGGGCAAGUCUGGCUGGGGGUGGUAGGGUUCUGUGCCCCAAAAGGCAGGGACCAGAGGCCCUUUGGUGGAGGGCCAACCCCAGGCAGAACCUGUCAUGGCUGUAGACUUCCCAUGAACCUGGAUGCAGGACUAGCAAGUGGGCAUUAUAGGUGGCUGAUUAAAGACUUUGUCCAGAUGGCCACCAAGGGUCCAUUUCUGGGUCUUUCCUUGGCUCAAGAAACCUUUUCACUACAGAACUGCACUGGUAACUACAGAACAUGGCACACAGAACAUGAAUGCAAGUGUCUUGUUAAGGCAGUAGAAAUUAUUAUCACAAUUUAUUUUCGCAUUUGUUUUCUCCUUUUGAAUUCUGGCAUUAUAAUGGGACACAGCUCAAUCAAGGUUCGGCAGCUGAGAAAAUGAGAGAAGGUAUGGUGUGGCCUGGAGGAAUUUCCUGCAGCGGGGUAAAUGGCAGGCCAACCCCAUCUGGAUCUUUCCCAUGACCAAGAAACCCUUUCACCAAAGCCUGCUCGUUUCCUACAAGAUCUUCCCUGCCCUGAUAAUCUCUCCAUCCUUCCCUCCUUUCUAAAACCAGUAUUUUCAUUCAUUCAUUCAUUCAAGAUGUAUUUUCCUGUUUGGAAAUUUUCAUCCAUGUAUUGUCUAUCUUCCCACCCAUCCCACAAGCAUCAGAACAGAACCACUUUUGUGGGGGGCUCUGUACCAGCACUGGGAUCACACCUUGAAUAAAACAUUGAAUUUGUUUCUUCCGUCAAGGAGCUUAACGUUAUCUGGUUGAAUACAUUCUCAUUUAAAACCUCUACCAUUCCCAGAAAACUUAUUAAAGAUGUGAUUAAAGAGAUAAUCAUAUAACCUUACUUAGUUAUUGAAUAAGCCUUUUUCCUGGUCCUGAAUGCAGGAGUGACGAAGGCUUCUUGAAGACAGUUUGCUUGGCUGUGAACAGUGCUGCAAUGCUCAGGAACAAGGCUCAAUGCUCAAGGGUGGGAGCUGUCACCACAUAGGUAACACCUGCUGUUUUUGUUCCUUGAUAGCUUGGCUCAGGAAGGAUGAUGGUCUGUGAAAGUGAAAACCCCCGGAUGAGGGAAAAAUCAACAUGAUCCAAUGCUGAACUAGUUUAGGCCUAUGCUAUUUCCGGUGAAGGGAUGCCACUACUGACCACAACCCUGUCUCGAGAAACAUCCAGUUAUUACCCCUCUCAAUCUCUACAUACAAGAUGAAGACUUUUGACCUGGUCUGUGUCCACUCCAAGCUGAUGACUUAUAAAAGUGGCUGUGGCUCAAGAACCAGCCAACCACAGGGGACAGCAGGUGCACAAGCUUGUAAGAGUAGAAAUGAAAAGGAAUCUCUUAACUCAAUUUGGAGAAGUGAAUACUUGAGCCCUGAGCAUCUUUGCAAUGACGCCAGCUCAAAUCAGGUCAGGCACUUUCUGUGGGAGGCUAAUCCCUGAUUGCCAUCUUGCUUUCCACUUCCAUAUGGAAGUAACAUGCACUGGGGUAGAGGGCAUGGGGACAAGGGACUUGCUACAUUUGUUCUGACAGCAGUGUGAUAUAAUCACCUAUCUCAUCUGAGACACCGUCAUAUUUUAUAUGAAAGACAAGUUCUUUCUCUUUAUAAAAUGCAAUUAUACAUAAAUAGUUCAUGUCAUCUGCUCUUAAAAUUUUAGCAGCAGGACUUAAUGCUGCUGGUUACCAUGGUAACAGGCAAAGUUGGCGAUAUUGAAUAUUACUGUAUUAACCUCUCUCUCUCUCUCUCUCUGUGUGUGUGUGUGUGUGUGUAUGUCUGUGUGUUUUAAUGGCUGUGUUGCAUAUAGGGGAUAGUUUUUUCCAGACUACAGUGUCAGAAAAGUUAGAACAUAAGACUGUCACCAAUGUGACAAGUGAAUACAUUGGAAAAGUCAAGCCCAGCACAGAUGCCUUUCAUUUCUUGGUCAUAUCCCUUAUUUCUUGCACCCAUCCCUCCCUGCCAAUUUUAUUAAGGUGUAAUUGACAAAUGAAAUUAUAUAUCUUUACAGUGUACAAUGUGAUGUUUUUAUACAGUGUACAUUGUGAAAAGAUUAAAUCAAGCUAACAGAUUUAUUUUUUGCAGUGAGAACAUUUAAGAUCUAUUCUCUUAGCAAUUUUCAAGUAUACGUUAUUAUUGUACAUUCAGUGCAAUAGAUCUGCAGAACUUACUCAUGCUGUCUACCAAACUUUGUUCACUUUGACCAACAUCUCAUUUUGCUCCCCCAUCCCCAGUACCUGGCAAACACUAUUCUUUGCUUUUGUGAGUUUGAAAUUUUAUUUCAUUUAAAAAAUUUUAAUUUUUGACGCUGGUGGUAUAUGUGUUUGUUUGUUACAAGGGUAUUGCCUACAUAAUGGUAGAAAUUGGGCUUCUAGUGUUUCCAUCACCCAAAUAUUGAACACUGUACCCAACAGGUAAUUUUUUAGCCCUCACUCCCCGUCCAUGCUCCUCCCUUUUAAGAGUUCCUAGUGUCUAUUUGCAUGAUAUUUGCAUGAUUUCUUUUUCUACCCUUUUACUUUGAGUCUGAAUGUGUCUUUAGCCAGUAGGUGGGUCUUUUUUAGACAGCAUGUGGUUGCGUCUUAUGUUUUUUAUAACCGAAUUUGCCACUCUGUAUCUUUUAAGUGUAUAAUUUAGGUCAUUUACAUUGAAAGUUAAUAUUGAUAUGUGAAGUCUUG
rnacentral:lncRNA from 10 species